AUGAUCCCGACCAGGCGGCCUUCAUGCGUGAUCAGGUCGGCAUCGACCUGGACGGCUCCCCCCCUCGAUCACGAGUUCCCGGACGACUACGGGCUAGAGGAAGAUGACGAGUGCGACAUCGACGUGGAGACUUUGUUCGAGGACGAGGUCGCCAACCAAGCCGCCGGUCCUAAGCCUAAGCGCAAGAGCAAGCGUACGAAGGCGUACACGGUAGCCGAGGACAAGCUUCUUUGCGAGUGUUGGCGAGACAUUGGACAAGACCCCAAGACGGGCACCGAGCAAAAGCAUUCAACCUUUUGGAUUCGUGUCCACCGAGAGUUUCAUGAGCGCAAGACGUUUCCGCCGUACCAAUUUGCGAGCAUGCGCGGGUGGGUCUCCAUUUCCAAGCGAUGGAGGGUGGUCCAACAAGAAUGCAACAAGUUUUGCGCCACUCUUGAGAGCGUCAAGGCCCGCCCCGUGAGCGGCAUCGACAUGCAAGACAUGGUACGCUAG
rnacentral:rRNA from 1 species